rnacentral:rRNA from 1 species
GCAGAAUUCAGUGAAUCAUCGAAUCUUUGAACGCAAAUUGCGCUCUCGGGUUACCCCCAAGAGCACACCUCUCUGAGUGUCGGUUAAACCAAAUGUCACCAAUUUAUUGGUGUACGACAGCCUGAGGGUAAGGAGUUUCGGCUUCUUUCCUUUUAAAUUCUAAAGCUGCACGAUGUUAUGUGUUAGUGGCAAGUUGGUUUCAUUUAAUUGUGAAUUCAAUCCACCGACCUUUCUUGUCGAGCAAGCAAUAAGAAACAACUGAUUGUCUGUGAAGAAAAGCAGGUACAGUCAACCUAUGAAUUAGACCUCAGAUGAAGUGGGAAGACCCCCUGAAUUUAAGCAUAUUAUUAAGGGGAGGAAAAGAAACUAACAAGGAUUCCC